rnacentral:rRNA from 1 species
UCAACAAGCCCUUUCCCUAGCCGAAAAGGCUCGGGUAAUCCUUUGAACCUUCCAUUGGUGAUGGGGAUAGAUUACUGCCAAUUAUUAGUCUUUCAACGAGGACUGCCUAGUAAGCGCAAUUCCAUCAGAUUGCGUUGAUUACGUCCCUGCCCUUGUACACACCGCCCGUCGCUCCUACCGAUUGGGUGUGCUGGUGAAAGUGUUCGGAUUGGCAAUUAUCGGUGGCAACACCGUCGAUUGCCGAGAAGUUCAUUAAACCCUCCCACCUAGAGGAAGGAGAAGUCGUAACAAGGUUUCCGUAGGUGAACCUGCGGAAGGAUCAUUGAAUAUGCAAACCACAACACGCACUCUUUUAUUUGUGUACCGACGUUAGGUCGAACCACUAACCCUGGUUUGGCCUACUAACCUACACACACACCAUUGACCAACAUUUGAUUAAACCAAACUCUGAAGUUUCAGCUGCUGUUAAUCGGCAGUUUUAACGAAAACAACUCUCAACAACGGAUAUCUUGGCUCUCGCAACGAUGAAGAACGCAGCGAAAUGCGAUACGUAGUGUGAAUUGCAGAAUUCCGUGAACCAUCGAAUCUUUGAACGCAUAUUGCGCUCGACUCCUCGGAGAAGAGCAUGUCUGCCUCAGCGUCGGUUUACACCCUCACCCCUCUUCCUCAACAGGAAGCUUGUCGUGCUUGCUCAAGCCGGCAUCAGGGGUGGAUCUGGCCCUCCCAAUCGGACUCACCUCCGAUUGGGUUGGCUGAAGCACAGAGGCUUAAACUGGGACCCGAUUCGGGCUCAACUGGAUAGGUAGCAACACCCUCGGGUGCCUACACGAAGUUGUGUCUGAGGACCUGGUUAGGAGCCAAGCAGGAAACGUGUCUCUGACGCGUAUCUCUGUAUUCGACCUGAGCUCAGGCAAGGCUAUUAUGAGAGCGGCUGCCUGUC